AGCAAGGCAGGAGCAGGAAAUAGUGAACUGGACAAGGACUGAGGACUAUGACUAGGCUGGGACCAAGGGUCUGGGCUUGGACUCGGAAUCGGCUCCCAGAACUAGAGGAGACAUGAAGAGGCUAGGGUAUGGACUCCGAGCCUGAUAUUGGGCAAGGACCCAGUACCUGGGUCUUGCCUUGGGCUCGGACCCCAGAACCAGGCAAGGACAUGACAUGGGCGAGGGAGAGGAGGAACAUGGGAACACAGAGCCUCGGUCUCGGGAGAGCAGGUACACGGAACCAUGGACACAUACGCAGAACACAGAGUCGGGACCCCUCCUUGGGUACAGGACAUAAGGGUGGGACUCACACACAGAACAGAGAGCCGGGACCCCUCCUUGGGUACAGGACAUAGGGCCGGGACUCAUGACCCCCCCCCCGCGGGGCAACGGCAGGACGGCUUGACUUACCCCGCAGAGGUGAGGACAAGACAAGACAAGACCAACACAAAUGAACACCAGACAGUACCUAUCUAGCUCCAGUGAUGGAACUAGACUGAAGUGCAGGCAGGGGCUGCAGACGAGGGCUAGAGGCGAGAGGGGCAGAGAAGGGAUUCAGACAGGGGGGUAAGACAGGAAUCACAGACCGCCAGGGCCGGGACUUGACUCGGAACUUGGAACAGUAGACAGCGGUUCUUGAUUCCCUCCGGCAGGUUACCUGAUGGACCCACCUCGGUGAGGAAACUUUGCAGGCUCUCUUUGGCGGGGUAACUGGACAGGGUUGCUCCGGUGAGGAAAGACGAAUUACCGGCACUCGCUUCGGCGGAGACUAGGCUUGCUCUGGCCAGAUGACAUCGGCACACCGUACCUUUGGUGACUUUGCAGACGCUUUCGCCCUGAACAGCUGAAAGCCGGAGACUAUAAACUACAGGUUCAGCCGAGAGACUAGCCGAACUAUCAUCGAGGUUCAGCGUGGAAAGGAGCUGUCAAUGUAUCAUCAUUUCCCCACACGACUGCGUCUGACACAGCCUAACUCAGAGUGGAGCGAUGAGUCGAGGAAAAGAAAAGCAAUUUGGACUGAGCUGGAGAGUUAAGGUCACCAGACCAGUGAGCGUGAAGGAGACUGAAGUGGGUCCUGUCUGAGGAGGUCCAGUUCUGCUCGGAACAGCCUUUUGGUUUAUGUCACAAAUCAUGUCAGCAACAUCCAGGAUCACAGCAAGAAUCUCACCCAUGUGUACCAUCUCAUUAUAGUGAUGUCCAAAGAUAAUUCACUCCUGACAUUGACACAGAACCAGACACUGUUACAGUCGUUGAACGGUGAAGGGGUGCAAGAUCUGGAGCUCCAGGAGUGAGUACAACACUGAGGAGCUCGCUGAGGAAACCAGCCCACAGACCUGGCUGGGCACGGCUAUGAAGAUGUUCUGCAUCUACAAAUUUGUCAUUGACACCACAGAGUCACAAAUAACAAAGGGUACAGGAAGGAGAGUGCUUAGUGACCUGGUGUCAUGACAACAACCGUUCCCUCUGUGUCAACAAAAGAGCUGUUCACUGACCUCAGGGUGAGGUGCACGUGCCCCGGUAUCAAUGGUGCUGAAGUGGAGAGGGCUGACAGCUUCGAGAUCCUAGGAGUGAGCAUCACCAAGAGCCUGUUCUCAUCCAACCACGUUGAUGCGAUGCCAAGAGAAUGCACCAGCAGCUCUACUUCCUCAGGAGGCUAAAGAAAUUCCGCUGCCCCCUUUGACCCUCACCAACGUUCAUUAAUAUGUCAUAGAAAGAAUCCUAUCCAGAUUGCAAUACAGCUUGGUACGGCAACAGUUCUGUCCAAGACCACAAGCUCAGCAUGUCUUCAGUGGACUCUGCACACUUCUCGCUGUCUCGGUAAAGCAGCCAAGGUAAUCAAAGACUUUGGACAUUCUCUCUUUUCCACCCUCCCGCCAGGCAGAAGAUACAAAGUCUCAGAACACAUACAUAACACCAGACUCAAGGACAGCUUCUAUCCCGCUACUAUGAUUACUGGACAGACAUUUUGUACAAUAAGAUGGACACUCGACAUCACGAUCUAACUCAUCAGGGCUCUGCACCUUUUCGUCUACAAGCACUGCACUGUAACUGUAGUUGUUAUGCUUUAUUGUGCAAUGAUAGUUUUAUCUCAGUGCUCCAUGUACAGAUUUGAUCUGUAUACAUGACAUGAUUGACUGAACAGUAAAGACAAGCUGUUCACUGAAUCUUGGUACAGUACUUGCAAAAAUCUUUGUCACGUAUAUAGCUAGAGUGCCGAAGACUUUUGCACAGUUCUGUAGUAACCUUAUGUACUGCACUAAACUGAUGUAGCAAAAAACAAAUAAAUUUCAUGAAUAUGUGUGUGAUAAACCCAAUUCUGAUAUGGGUCUCUUUUGUAGACUGAGAGAGGGAGGGGAGCAGGAAG